AGGGUCGGAAGUAGAAAAGCUGUUCGUGCUUGCACGAAAAAGCUUUUAUAUUUCCGACCCGCCCAAACAUGAGAAAGGAGCGAUUUACGAAGUAAAUCAGCGGAAUUCGAAUGUUUGCAGAAUUGCGGGAGCAGCAAAGCUGCGGAGCAAUUCGC
rnacentral:sRNA from 1 species